rnacentral:rRNA from 1 species
AAUUUAAUUUGAGUUUUACUUUAUUAUUAUUAUAUUAUUUACAAAAAUAUUUUUUAGUUUAAUUAAAAAGUAAAUAAAGAAAAAAUUAUGAAUAUGAUAGUUAAUUAGUAAAGUGAUUGAAUUAAUUUAAAAUUAUUAAAGAUAAGUUAAUUUAUUGUACCUUGUGUAUCAGGGUUUAUUAAUUAAAUAUUAAAGAAUUUAAUUUUCUCGAUUUUAAAAGAGUUAAUUAUUUAUAAAUUUUAUUGUGAAAGAAAUAUUUAUAAUAUAUAAUUGGUAAUGAAAUGUUAUUCGUUUUUAAAGAUAUCUAGUUUUUAAAGAAAAAAAUUAAAUUUUAUAAAAUAUAUAAUUUAGUUAAUUUUAAAAAAAAAUUUAUAUUUUAAGUUAUAUUAAUUGGGAUAAGCUAAUUAAUAAAUUAUUAUAAAUUAAUAUAAAUUAAUUUUAAAAUAUAGGGUUAGAAAUUUUCAUUAAAUAGUUUGUUAUAAUUAAUUAAGGUUUAAUAAAAAUUUGUAUUAAUUUUAAUUUUUUUAUUUAAAUGUUAGAAAUAAUAAAAUUUUUUAAGUAAUAAUGAUAGAAUUAGUAUAAUAUAAUGUAAGUUAUAGUUGAUAUUUAAUGUUAUAAAAAAGAAUUCGGCAAGUAUAUUUUUCGCCUGUUUACUAAAAACAUGUCUUUAUGAGUAUUGAUUUAAAGUCUAACCUGCCCAAUGAGAAGUUUAAUGGCCGCAGUAUUUUGACUGUGCAAAGGUAGCAUAAUCAUUAGUUUUUUAAUUAAAAACUGGAAUGAAGGGUUGAACGAGAAAGUAACUGUUUCUUUAUUAAUUUUUUAGAAAUUUAUUUUUAAGUUAAAAAGCUUAAAUAUAAUUAAAAGACGAGAAGACCCUAUAGAGUUUUAUAUAAUGUAAAUAUAAUUAUAAAUAUUGAAUUUUUGAAAUUUUAUAUUGUUUUAUAUUUGGUUGGGGUGAUUAAAAAAUUUAUAAAACUUUUUAUUUUAAAGAAUCAUUGAUUUAUGAUUGAUUGAUCCAUUAAUUAUGAUUAGAAGAUUAAAUUACCUUAGGGAUAACAGCGUUAUUUCUUUUUAGAGUUCAAAUCGAUAAAGAAGUUUGCGACCUCGAUGUUGGAUUAAAUUUAAUUUUUGGUGUAGAAGCUAAAAUAUUAGGUCUGUUCGACCUUUAAAAAUUUACAUGAUCUGAGUUUAAACCGGUGUGAGCCAGGUUGGUUUCUAUCUUUAAUUAUUAUAAAAUAUUUUAGUACGAAAGGACCAAAUAUUUAUAAAAUUUAUUUAUUAUGAAUAU